rnacentral:rRNA from 1 species
UACGAAGGGGGCUAGCGUUGUUCGGAAUUACUGGGCGUAAAGCGCACGUAGGCGGAUUGUUAAGUCAGGGGUGAAAUCCCGAGGCUCAACCUCGGAACUGCCUCUGAUACUGGCUGUCUUGAGUCCGGGAGAGGUGAGUGGAAUGCCGAGUGUAGAGGUGAAAUUCGUAGAUAUUCGGCGGAACACCAGUGGCGAAGGCGGCUCACUGGCCCGGUACUGACGCUGAGGUGCGAAAGCGUGGGGAGCAAACAGG